UACGGAGGGUGCGAGCGUUGUCCGGAAUCACUGGGCGUAAAGGGUGCGUAGGCGGUUCGGUAAGUUUCGUGUGAAAUCUUCGGGCUCAACUCGAAGUCUGCACGAGAUACUGCCGGGCUUGAGUGUGGGAGAGGCCAGUGGAAUUGCAGGUGUAGCGGUGAAAUGCGUAGAUAUCUGCAGGAACACCCGUGGCGAAGGCGGCUGGCUGGACCGCAACUGACGCUGAGGAACGAAAGCUAGGGGAGCAAACAGG
rnacentral:rRNA from 1 species